rnacentral:rRNA from 1 species
UACGAAGGGGACUAGCGUUGUUCGGAAUCACUGGGCGUAAAGCGCACGUAGGCGGAUUUGUAAGUCAGGGGUGAAAUCCCGGGGCUCAACCUCGGAACUGCCUUUGAUACUGCGAAUCUUGAGUCCGAUAGAGGUGGGUGGAAUUCCUAGUGUAGAGGUGAAAUUCGUAGAUAUUCGGAAGAACACCAGUGGCGAAGGCGACUUACUGGACACAGUAUUGACGC